ensembl:lncRNA
AAAACGUGUGGUUUUCACUUAAAUGGGGGAUUUGUGAAGAGAAAAUGCGUGAUUUUUCGCUUAAAUGGGGGAUUUGCGAAGAGAAAACGCGUGAUUUGUGGCUUAAAUGGGGGAUUUGCGAAGAGAAAAACGGUCAUUUUCGGUUAAAUGGGGGAUUUGCGAAGAUGAAAAUGCGUGAUUUUCGCUUAAAUGGGGGAUUUUCGAAGAGAAAACGCGUGAUUUUCGCUUAAAUGGGGGAUUUGCGAAAACGCGUGAUUUUCGGUUAAAUGGGGGAUUCUCGAAGAGAAAACACGUGAUUUUCACUUAAAUGGGGGAUGUUCAAAGAGAAAAUGCGUGAUUUUCACUUAAAUGGGAAAUUUGCAUAGAGGAAACAUGUUAUUUUCACUUAAAUGGGGGAUUCUUGAAGAGAAAACACGUGUUUUUCGCUUAAAUGGGGGAUUUCCAAAGAGAAAAUGCGUGAUUUUCGCUUAAAUGGGGGAUUCUCGAAGAGAAAACGCGUCAUUUUCGCUUAAAUGGGAAAUUUGCGAAGAGGAAACGCGUGAUUUUCGCUUAAAUGGGGGAUUUGUGAAGAGAAAACGUGUGAUUUGUGGCUUAAAUGCGGGAUUCUCGAAGAGAAAACGCGUGAUUUUCGCUUAAAUGGGUGAUUUGUGAAGAGAAAACGCGUGAUUUUCGCUUAAAUGGGGGAUUUCGAAGAUGAAAACGCGUGAUUUUCGCUUAAAUGGGGGAUUUCCGAAGAGAAAACGCGUGAUUUUUGGGUAAAAUGGGGGAUUCUCGAAGAGAAAACGCGUGAUUUUCGCUUAAAUGGGGGAUUCUCGAAGAUGAAAACUCGUGAUUUUUGCUUAAAUGGGGGAUUUGCGAAGAGAAAACGUGUGGUUUUCACUUAAAUGGGGGAUUUGUGAAGAGAAAAUGCGUGAUUUUCGCUUAAAUGGGGGAUUUGCGAAGAGAAAACGCGUGAUUUGUGGCUUAAAUGGGGGAUUUGCGAAGAGAAAACGUGUGAUUUUCGCUUAAAUGGCGGAUUCUCGAAGAGAAAACGCGUGAUUUUCGCUUAAAUAGGGGAUUUCCAAAGAGAAAACGUGAUUUUCGGGUGAAAUGGGGGAUUCUCGAAGAGAAAACGCGUGAUUUUCACUUAAAUGGGGGAUUUGCGAAGAGAAAACACGUGAUUUUCGCUUAAAUAAGGGAUUUGCGAAGAGAAAACACGUGAUUUUCGCUUAAAUGGGGGAUUUGCGAAGAUGAAAAUGCGUUAUUUUCGCUUAAAUGGGGGAUUUUCGAAGAGAAAACGCGUGAUUUUCGCUUAAAUGGGGUAUUUCCGAAGUGAAAACGCGUGAUUUUCGCUUAAAUGGGGGAUUUGCGAAGAGAAAACGUGUGAUUUUUGGGUUAAAUGGGGGAUUCUCAAAGUGAAAACGCGUGAUUUUUGCUUAAAUGGGGGAUUCUCGUAGAGAAAACGCGUGAUUUUCACUUAA